rnacentral:misc_RNA from 1 species
AAAACUCUCUUUGUAUACUGCACUUGGGGGUGUUCGUCCUUCUGCGUGCUUGCCCGUGACCAUUGAUGUUGGUACAAACAAUGAGGAGUUGUUGAAUGAUGAGUUUUACAUUGGGCUCAGGCAAAAGAGAGCUACCGGGCAGGAAUAUGCUGAACUUAUAGAUGAAUUCAUGUCUGCGGUCAAACAGUGUUAUGGGGAGAAGCUCCUCAUUCAGUUUGAAGACUUUG